GCCUGGGUAGCUCAGUGGUAGAGCAGACGACUGAAAAUCGUCGUGUCGGUGGUUCGACUCCGCCCCUGGGCACCA
rnacentral:tRNA from 1 species